GACGAACGCUGGCGGCGUGCUUAACACAUGCAAGUCGAACGAUGAACCCGGAGCUUGCUCCGGUGGAUUAGUGGCGAACGGGUGAGUAACACGUGAGUAACCCGCCCUUGACUCUGGGAUAACUGCGGGAAACUGUAGCUAAUACCGGAUACGACCCUCGGCGGCAUCGCCAGGGGGUGGAAAGAAUUUCGGUCAAGGAUGGACUCGCGGCCUAUCAGCUAGUUGGUGAGGUAACGGCUCACCAAGGCGACGACGGGUAGCCGGCCUGAGAGGGUGACCGGCCACACUGGGACUGAGACACGGCCCAGACUCCUACGGGAGGCAGCAGUGGGGAAUAUUGCACAAUGGGCGCAAGCCUGAUGCAGCAACGCCGCGUGAGGGAUGACGGCCUUCGGGUUGUAAACCUCUUUCAGCACCGACGAAGCGCAAGUGACGGUAGGUGCAGAAGAAGGACCGGCCAACUACGUGCCAGCCGCCGCCGUAA
rnacentral:rRNA from 1 species